rnacentral:pre_miRNA from 1 species
AAUUUUUUGAAUCCGUGCUGAGAUUUCGUCAAACACCAAUUCAUUUGUGCUGAUCAGACUUCCAAGAUAGCUGAAGUU